CCCGACUUGCCUUCCAAUCACCGAGUUUAAAAUGAAAAGCUUUAAAUAAACACCAGGAAUAGAAGAUAAAUAAACUUUUUCCCCCUUGCAAGUGCCUAGCCCGCUGAGGUUCAGGCUCAAAUCCCCAGAGGACAGAGUGCUCUCUUUUGUGUUAAUGUUUAAAAGAUUUUCCAAUGCUGGAGUUUAUUCCUACUGCAAACAUUUCUAUUUACAAGGUCAAGUGUAUCAGCACUCGACACAGCUUAAGAGUGUAAUUAUUUAUGUAAGGGCGUUUGAGUGUGCAUCAGGAGCUUGGCGGAAGCCCAGCCUUCAACCCACUGUUCAACAGCUCCUCAGGACAAUAUUACCAGUCCUGGUGAUUAUUCCCCUCCACGGUGUGUUUACUUUUGCACGCCUCAAUGUUUUGUAACAAAAUUUUGUAUUUUUUUUUCACCAAAAGUGUGAAAAUGGCUUUGAAGUAUUGAGUCUCAGAGGCUUCCUAGACCUAUUGGUAACAGAUGUUAUUGGCAUGUUUGAUUGAAUAGAGAAGGCAGAGAGGACACUCCUGGGGGUCAGGAGAAAAAAGGGAGGGGGUGCGCAGGGUGGGUCUCCCAGGGAGGGGGAGGUUAUCCUCACACAAGAGACAGUAUUUUGUGAGUUUUCUUCACAAGUGACAACAGCAGCGGAGGCCAGUUACAAAUUCUUUUAGCUGCCCCAUUUGUAGACGUCUAAUUGUUCAUUAAAUUAAAGGCAGCAUUAGCUCAUAUUCCCCCGUGUGCUGCGUUUUAAUCUCACUUGAUGCUUGAUGGCCUUCCAGUGCCCCCUCCCUCCACACCCCUCCCAACCCAUCACCGGGCUGAUUGCAGUGAAACCGUGGAAAGCAACGGCACUGUAGACAGUGUUUAAACUCUUUACUGAUGUGUGCAUUUGUAAUAAAACAACCCAAAAUACACAGAGUCAUAGUUUUUUCUUUUUAAACACAGGAUUUAAAAAAAAAUGAGGUCUAUAAAAAUACAAUGUUUAAGGCAGUUUGGAAAUGCAUUUAAUACAUCUCUACAAUGUCCAUAAAUUCUCUCGAAAAUAAGAACGUUACUUCAAAUCUGUAAAAUACACUGUACAUUUUUAAGUCUGUUCUUCUACACAGGGCACACCUAAAAUAGGCUGCGGGAGUGGAUUCCUGGUGACCAAUGUUUUCUAUACAUUUCUUGGAUGGGCUGCAGGAGUGGGUUCCUGGUGACCAAUGUUUUCUAUACAUUUCUUGGAUAGGGGUGGGGUGUGAUACAACAGUGAUGCAGAUUUAAGACUUUUAAUUUCUUUUUAAAAAAUAAAUUAUUUUCUGAAGCAUACAAUUUAUAAAAAUUCUAUAUACAAAGUACAACUGGUAAGAAACCCCAGUUUUAAUACAGUUUAUAUACGACGUACCAGGGUGCAGGACCCCGAUAGGGGCAGAGCAAUAGUCAAUCUCUGCAAUAUUCAAACUUAGAAUUUCUUGGUGGAGGAAAAAAAAAAAAAAAAAAAAGGACAACAGAACAAACAUCAUAGAGGUUUUCCUAGUUGGCAGUACCGAGCUUUAGGAUAAAAACGUGUAUUGUUCAACACUGUGGUAACUCUUUAGACUAGCGUUUUUUGGAUCCUUAACUCUAAGACACGUGGUGCAGAGGGAUCAGAAUGGGGGCGGUAAAAUUAGAGGUGAGGGGUUAAGGUUGCAGUCAUAAUUUCGGGGACCCCCCAACGAGGCAAUCGCGGGCUCCACACUCAGCGUUACCGAGGGCUACACCAAGAGUACAGGAAUGAAUCGGUAAAGGGAACUUUUCUACUUACUUAGGAUUGCUGUGUUUCUCAGUGGUCACGAGCAAUUAAAGUCGUUACCAGUACUAUGUGUCCCCUCACAGGAAAAAAGUUUAAAAACAAAACAGAACAAACAGACAAACAAAAGUUCCGGCCCCUUUGCAAACCUAAUUCGCUCAACAUCCCUUUCCCUAGUCCACUGGAACUGUAAAGACCCCCACCGUUCAGCACUCUAACAAGAGUCCAGCCAGGCCUUCAUUGCUUUUGGCAAGGUGUCCUGAAUUCUGCAGAUUAGAGCCGGCAGUAUAGAUCGGCCGGUUUUAUCUGCAGCCUGGAAAACCGCACAGAAAAGGGCCGAGCAUGGUAGUUGCGGUACGGGCUGGGCCCUGUCUACCCGCGGAGAGUGUGGGUCAGUGCUCCCGAUCAUCUCCGGUCUCCGAGCCACAGGUGCCCUGCUCGGGAAUCAGCUGGGUCGUGCGUACCGGCCUGGAGUAGCCUGCAGCAGGGGCGCGGGGGCUACAAGUGGGACCCAAGCAGCAGGAGCAGCAGAAAACAGGCAAACGGGGUCCAGGAGCUUCGGGUCGCCCAGUGGCCUCCACUGCCGCUGCUGCUGCUCCUGCGCCCCGGCCCGUGGGGCAAGUCCCCGCGUCCGCCUGCCCCAGCAGCGCCGCCGCCCGGGCGCGCAAGGCCGUCGUCGUCGUCCAGGGGCUGCUCGCCGCCCGCGGCCCCAGCGCGCUGCUCGUCAUCAUAUUCUUCGUCGUAGUAGUCGUCUAGGCCCCCGUCCGAGCCGCUGCUGCCCGGACCGUUGCUCGCAUCUGGGCCGAAGCACAGGCGGGCCAUGUUCUCCUUGACCGACUCGCAGAUGGGCCUCUCCAGCCCAUCGCACACACAGUCGUUGAGCAGCGCCGCCUUGGGCACCGCCAGCAUGUCCUCGAUGACCGCGCGGCACUCGUCGGUGCAGCGGAGACCGUUGAAAAGCUUGCCGCAGUAGGCUAGAUAGCGGCCGAGUGCCAGGUUGCAGCGGCUGUCCCGGUCGCAGCGCCGCCGGGCCUCAGUGCAGCCCAUGACCGAGCCCGCUCCCGCGCCCGGGCCCACGCUGCUGGUGCGCGGCAGACAGGGCUCGAUGGCGCGCUUGGUGGACCUGCAGUGUUCGUCCUGCGCGCAGUCGCAGUCCUCCAGCGCGGGCCCGCGGCGCGUGUGGUUGAGCUGGAUGAGCGCCGAGAUGCAGUGGCUCGGGCAGCGCCAGCGCGGCGAGAAGGACGCGGCCGAGGAGGGGAAGGCGCCGGCGGGCCCAGGAGCAUCAGCUCCGCCGCGCUGUGCGAGCACCGGCGCACACGCCUCGGCGUACUGGCUGUAGGCGUAGCUGCAGUCCGGCUCUCCCUGACACUGCAGCAGCGCCUGCCAGCAGAUGAGGCGGCGGCCGUGCGCCAGCCCCGAGCCCCGCGGCGCCGAGCCCAGCAACUGCAGCAGCGCCAUCAGGCACAGCAAGGCGCCCGGCAAGCUCCCCGAGCGGGCUCCGCCGCCGCCCAGCAGUGCGGCUAGCAUCGCGGGCAGCAGCGGCCGCCGGACGCGGUGCGGAGCGGAAACGAGGCUCGGGUGGCGGCCGCGGGUGUUUGCUCCAGCACCGCGGCCGGGGCUCCCUGAGAGGCGCGGCGACGCAGGUCCGGCUCCGAUCGGCGGCUGGAAGCGUUCAGUGCCGUCCCUGGGGGACGCGGCGAGGCUGCAGGAGCGCGCGGCGCCGGGGGUGCAUGGUGCAAGGCGCCUGCAGAAGGUCGUGUGGCCGGUGGCUCCUCCGUUCCCGGCUCAGUAGCGCGUAGCAGUUCGCAGCUCUGGCAUCCCGCCUUCCCGCGACCAGGACGCUUGGUCCCCUCCCCCUCUACCCGGGCCUGGGCCGCACUCCGGGAAGUUCUGGGAGCCAGGCGCAGGGAGGACCCCGAAACUCGGAGCGUGCGGCUCUGCUCGGAGACCCGGAGCCUGGGGAGCGGAUCCGCGGAGCCCGGCUGCCGACUCGCUCGCGGCGGGGCUUUAAAUACAAAAGUGGGCCGGGAGCCCCCGUGUGGUGCCGCGGCGCCCCCUCAUUAUGCAUGCAUAGAAAAGCAAACAAACAAAAACAUUAGCAACGCUCCUCCAGCUUGCCGAGCCCCAGCCCCGCGCGCUCCGGGCUUGCCCGCUUUCUCCUUUCUCCACUCUCGGGCGCCCUUUGCUCGGCCCCUUUCCCCGGCUUUGCGCGCCGCUAUUGGUCCAGCCUGUUGUUG
rnacentral:lncRNA from 1 species